UACGUAGGGUCCGAGCGUUGUCCGGAAUUAUUGGGCGUAAAGGGCUCGUAGGCGGUCUGUUGCGUCGGGAGUGAAAACUUACAGCUUAACUGUGAGCGUGCUUUCGAUACGGGCAGACUUGAGGCAUUCAGGGGAGAACGGAAUUCCUGGUGUAGCGGUGAGAUGCGCAGAUAUCGGGAGGAACACCAGUGGCGAAGGCGACUUCCUGGCCUGUUCUUGACGCUGAGGCGCGAAAGCUAGGGGAGCAAACGGG
rnacentral:rRNA from 1 species